CUCUCUCAUAUUUUUCCCCAAUUAGAUUUGAUAGGAAACUCUCUUAGAUCUCACUAAAAAGCCAUGAAUUUCUCUCCACCAUCACCACCGACACAACAACAGCUAUCGACACCACCGCCGACCUAGCCUCAAACACCUUUACAGCCGCAAACACCACCACCACCACCGCAGCAGCAACCUUGAAUAGAAGUGCCACCAAAGUGCACCCAGCAACCAAAAUCCUCCCCAAACCCAACCACCCCUUUCGCCAUCGAAUUCAAAGACAAAGACGUCACUCCCACAACAACUAUCUCCUUUUGCCUUACUAAACCUAAAUUUGUCUACGUUCCCAACUAUUCUCGUAAGUCCCCUUCUAAUUUUCAACUUAUAUUUUUGUAUUUUAGGGAGGAAUUGAUAUAAAUAAUUCAUGUAAUUGAUUAAUUGAUAUUUGGUGUUGCUCUUUUAGGUUGGUUUUCGUGAAAUAGCAUUCAUGAAUGUGAGGUUUGCUUUUUUCCUGAAUUCUUUGAUGGAAGGUCACCUUGUAAGAAUCCUAAGACAUACAAAUACUAUAGUAAUACCAUUAUUCGUAGAUUCAGCGAUAACCCCACUAAAAAAUUACCUUUACUAAGGUUCGCAAGACCAUUGUUGGAGACGUGGGUUCAUUUCGUGAAGUUUUUGAUUUCUUAGAGACAUGGGGUUUGAUUUUUAGCAUUUUUAUUAAUUUGAAGUUGGAUUAUUGAAAUUACACACCACAUGUUUGUUGAAUGUAAGUAUAGUAUUGCAAAAAUCUACAUCAUCUAUUUCAAUUUGUUUGUUCGGUGUUGACUUUUCACAUAGUUUAAGAAAGUCAUGUUAUGAAUUAUUAGUGCCAUCUCUUUCUUUUCUUCCUCGGUUCUGUGUUUUCGGAAAUUAAUGGUAUAGUGAUGCUGUUAAAUUAACCAAGGGACUAGAAUACCUCUAUGAGAGCUGUAAUCCCCUAUAAUCCAUAGAGAUCUCAAAUCAUCUAAUAUUCUACUAGAUUCUGACUUCAGUGCAAAGGUAAAUUAGCAAUAUAACAACAUAGCUCUCACUCAUUUGCUUUUCCUUUGUAAGCAUUUCAUAUGGUUUAUCUUGUCUGAGUUGGUUAACUUUUACUUUGAUUAACUUUCUGAUUUUGGCCUUGGUAUUGCGGGAUGGAAUUGAACAAGAGAAAUGUAAAGUAAGAGCAACUAUUAUUUGAGUGACUAAACGAGAAAUCUACCCAUAUUAAAAUUGUUUAGUUGACGCGAAAAUAGUAAAUGCAUAGAGUAUUGAUAAUUAUAGUAUUUCAUCUGUAUUCUGCCUUUUACCAGGUUUGUCAUUGCUAUUUUAGUGACCGUAGUGUAAUGGAGAGAGAGAUAAAAGAUGGAAUAUGUUGAAUGAAGAAUAUUAAUAGUAGUCUAUUUUUGAGGUUCUGAUCGAUCAGUACUAAUUAAUUAGUACGUAUAUAUAUAUGAUCAUUCUUGAUUAUCACAACUAUGCAUUUGUUAUAAUUAAAAGGUUAAUGGAUGCAAAAGAUUGGUGAUUAAUUUAGAGUUGGGAGGGAUUAAAAUCAUAUGAAAAUAUGUAGUACACUACAGAAGGAUUGCACUAUUUAAUUUGUACCCAUUAUUAAGGACUUUCUACACCUUUUGAUGUCUUUUUGUGUCAUGCAUGAUGACUUGAUAAGUCCCAAACUACAUUGUGACAACACCCUUUCAUUUAGUUGGUAAGACAAGUCGAUAAGUUUUGAUCCGAGAUCCCUUUUAUUGAAAAAAAUAGUUAUAUUUGAGAAAAAUUUGUUUGUUACUUGCCUAGUUUCUUCUGUCCAUUAUCAAGAAAUUAACUUUUCACAAUACCACCUAAAUAACUAUGAUCAUGGAGUUAAUAAGUUGGGUAGAAAGAGCCUGAGGUGCGGCCAGUGUCAUCAUACAUACAUCUUGCUACCUUUGGAGAUAUACUUAUGGACAUGAGGACAUUUAUUUAAUCUUGCUCAUUGUGAAUGCUAACUUUUGAAUUCUCAGUAAUUAUCUAUUUUGAAAUGAUAAGGGUUAUGUUAUUAGGAGCGUCAUCUUGGUGAUGUGAACAAGCAGCUGAAGAUUAAGGUUUCUCUUGAACUAUCAUCGUACACAUUCUACUUGAAGAACGUACAUUACUUUGUUGCUCAGACUCUUCUAAAGUUCCCUCAAAUGCAUGUCUAGUAGCUGAUAUAUAUGAGUGCAAUGACAUUAUAUAGUUGAAGAAUCCAAGUGGUAUAGGACUCUUAAGAUGACAUAUAUGUUGUGCUGCUUUGUUAAGUCCAUAUAUAUAGUUGCAUAAACAGUGAAGAGUUUUUCUUUUUCUAUAUUGGCAGUUUGAGACUGAAGGACAAGGACAAAGAGAUCUUCCUAAUUUUCCAUGGAUUUCUAAUACAUCAGCAGAAGUUGUAAGCAGCUCCUUUUAUGUCCACCAUUCUCAAUCAAAUCACAUAGAUUGUGAUCAAUCUGAUCCCUUUCCAUAAAUCUAUCACUGUAUCCCACAUUUGUGGGUCAUGUGCUGCUAUAUUUAGAAUUUUACCUUUACUACCUCCUUGUUGUAGUUUAAUUGGUUCUUCUAUUAGCAUUCUCUUACCUGCUGGUUUUUGUUAUAUCCUCUAAGUUCUGUAUUUGGGUUUAUCCUAAUUAUUGGUCUUCUAGGUACAUUGCCUGUACUAUAAUCUAUUGAUUGGGGCUUAGGGUUUGUUUGUUGAAAUGGGCUAGCACUUAAAGAUCUAGUCGGUUCUAAUUUUGCGAGUUCUUUAUAACAUAUUGUGGAACUUAAUACAGAAAUUGUGUCUUCAUCUUUUCUUUCAAGGAAUAGUUUGUUAUUUCUAUAUCCUAAAUUAUCA
rnacentral:lncRNA from 1 species